GAUGAACGCUGGCGGCAUGCCUAACACAUGCAAGUCGAUCGGUAAGGCUCUUCGGAGUACACGAGAGGCGGACGGCUGAGUAACGCGUAGGAACACACCCUGCAGUGAGGGAUAAGACACCGAAAGGUGUUCUAAUACCGCAUACGGUCUUCGGAUUAAAGCAUUUAUGCGCUGAAGGAGUGGCCUGCGUCAUAUUAGAUAGUUGGUGAGGUAAUGGCUCACCAAGUCGAUGAUGUGUAGCUGGUCUGAGAGGAUGAUCAGCCAGACUGGAACUGAGACACGGUCCAGACUCCUACGGGAGGCAGCAGUGAGGAAUAUUUCACAAUGAGCGAAAGCGUGAUGGAGCAAUGCCGCGUGCAGGAUGAAGGCCCUCGGGUUGUAAACUGCUUUUAUAAGAGAAGAUUAUGACGGUAACUGAUGAAUAAGGGACGGCUAACUACGUG
rnacentral:rRNA from 1 species